UUAAAAGCUGGUGAAUGGCACUUAGGGGCCCACAAGCACGCAGGGAGGCCUAAAAUAUUUGCAGAGCACACACUCUGCUCACAGAAUGAAAGGCCACUAUGUAAAUAGCUGGGCUCUGUCGGGGUGAGGCAUCUUCAAAGCGGCUUCUGCUUGUCACAUCAAGCCAGCAAGGAUGCAAAGACAUUCAUUCAAAAGCAGCACGCAGGAACCACACCACGACUUCCUGGCCCCAGAAGGUAGACUCAGAAAGGGACCACAGCCUGGAGUCCCGUGUUUCUUUUCCUCGCCCUUUCUCCUGCGCUGCACAGUGCACAGGGUGGUUUUGUGAGGUGGCUUACAAUGUCAGCUUUCAGGGCUGGGCAGACAUGAUCAGUUUUCUCUCUUCUGGCAGGGGAAGGCUUUUCUGGAAGACGCUCGAAAGGCAACCAUAGUUACUAAUGGAGCAUGGCAAAGCAUGAGACAGAGGUAGUUAUUACCCAGGCUUGACAAAAAAAAGGAACGUGGGAUGGUUUUUGCAUCAAGCCACAAAUACUAAUUCCAAAGACUCCCAGCAACAAUGACUGUGAUUUCCAGCAUGCACCACAGUGCAAGAAUGGCUAAAGGUGCGCACUGUUUCUUCAGAUGUUUAAUUGCUGGAGGAACCUCAACUGGUACAAAAGAGCACCUGCCUCCAACUUCUGAUUUUGAAAAAAGAAAUGAGAGAAGAGACAGAUGAGAGGACAAAGGUACCUCCCAGGCAUGGCUAUCACAGAACUGGUUUUAUUCUUCAUUGGUUUCCGGAAUGCAGGAGGAGCCGGGGAAAGGACUAGCAUUUGAAAGCACCUACUCUGUACUGCGCUGUAACUGCAGCACAUCAUUUGACCUUCCCGACGUGCCGGGGACAGGUAUUCCUCCACUCAUACCUGAGACCAAAGGUCAGAAAGGUGAAGUCACUCGCCCAAGGGCUAAUGGAGAACAAUGGCAGAAAGACAGCCCAACAAACAUGAUGGAAUUAAUGGAGUUCAUGUCUGCUUUCUCACCUGUUAAGUGCGGACGAUCCCUUUUUUCUGUGGAAGUUUAGAGGAGGUGACGUGUGUAACGUGCCCAGCGCCUGGCUGAGCACACGGAGCGCCAGAUGACCAGCUAAUCCUGAGGCAGCCUGAUGGGCCCAAGGGAGCCGGGAGGACCCUUGGCCCUUGCCCCCUUUCUCAAGCCCAAAAAGGAAGGUG